UACGGAAGGCAGCAGUGGGGAAUAUUGCACAAUGGGCGCAAGCCUGAUGCAGCCAUGCCGCGUGUAUGAAGAAGGCCUUCGGGUUGUAAAGUACUUUCAGCGGGGAGGAAGGCGGUGAAGUUAAUAGCUUCACCGAUUGACGUUACCCGCAGAAGAAGCACCGGCUAACUCCGUGCCAGCAGCCGCGGUAAUACGGAGGGUGCAAGCGUUAAUCGGAAUUACUGGGCGUAAAGCGCACGCAGGCGGUCUGUCAAGUCGGAUGUGAAAUCCCCGGGCUUAACCUGGGAACUGCAUUCGAAACUGGCAGGCUAGAGUCUUGUAGAGGGGGUAGAAUUCCAGGUGUAGCGGUGAAUGCGUAGAGAUCUGGAGGAAUACCGGUGGCGAAGGCGGCCCCUGGGACAAAGACUGACGCUCAGGUGCGAAAGCGUGGGGAGCAAACGAGGAUUAGGAUACC
rnacentral:rRNA from 1 species